UGCCGCGUGGAUGAUGAAGGCCCUAGGGUUGUAAAGUCCUUUCAGCGGGGAAGAUAAUGACGGUACCCGCAGAAGAAGCCCCGGCUAACUUCGUGC
rnacentral:rRNA from 1 species